rnacentral:rRNA from 1 species
AUUGAACGUUGGCGGCACGCCUAAUACAUGCAAGUCGAACGAGAAAGUACCUUCGGGUGCGAGUACAGUGGCGGACGGGUGAGUAACGCGUAGGAAUCUACCUAGUAGUGGGGGACAACUCGGGGAAACUCGAGCUAAUACCGCAUACGCUCUACGGAGGAAAGUGGGGGAUCUUCGGACCUCACGCUAUUAGAGGAGCCUGCGUUGGAUUAGCUUGUUGGUGGGGUAACGGCCCACCAAGGCGACGAUCCAUAGCUGGUCUGAGAGGACGACCAGCCACACUGGAACUGAGACACGGUCCAGACUCCUACGGGAGGCAGCAGUAGGGAAUAUUGCCCAAUGGGGGAAACCCUGAGGCAGCGAUGCCGCGUGUGUGAAGAAGGCCCUAGGGUUGUAAAGCACUUUCAGCAGUGAAGAAAUCCCGGUGGUUAAUACCCGCCGGAGUUGACGUUAACUGCAGAAGAAGAUCCGGCUAACUCCGUG